AUAACUACAGCUACUUCAAAAAUAUGUAGUCAGCUACAACUACUGCUACUUUUGAACAAAGGUAGUUCGCUACUGACUACAGCUACUGCUUAAAAAAUGUAGCGAACUAUUUCGCUAUUUCGCUACGCUAUCUUUUUUAGUUUUACUGUUUUUGGAGCAUCUACUAACUCAGGCUGAAAUGUAACCUAUAACAAAUCGACUUACGAGUAGCAACAGUAAACACAAAGCAACAUGUUUGUAAGCACUACAGUGUUCAAGAGUGCAAAUUGAGUAUUGAGUAUUGACUUUAAGCAAACCGUGUCUCAAUAUCAUGCUAUUCUAUCAAGGUGCU
rnacentral:lncRNA from 1 species